GACGUAGGUCGCGAACGUUAUCCGGAAUUAUUGGGCGUAAAGGGUGCGUAGAUGGUAUAAUAAGUUAUCAGCGGUAAAUCGGGGCUCAACCUCGUGGAAGUCGGUAAUACUGUUAUACUCGAGUACAGGAGAGGUUAACGGAACUCCAUGUGGAGCGGUAAAAUGCGUAGAGAUCGGAAAGAACACCAACGGCGAAAGCACUCUGCUGGGCCGACACUGACACUGAGAGACGUAAGCUAGGGGAGCGAAUGGG
rnacentral:rRNA from 1 species